rnacentral:lncRNA from 1 species
AAAAAAUUAGUUGAUGAAGUAAAGGGAGAAAUCAAGCAACAAAUUAGAGUGAUGGGGAAAUUGCAUAAUGAGUAAUAAGAAUGAUUCUGUUUAAAAUUGAGCUUUCCAUGUUCAAGAAUAAAGCCUCAUAUUUAUAGGGAAAAAUUGGCCCUCUGACCCAAUCCUGUCAGAUUGUGAAAAAAUUAGGUGGGAUCAGGUUAAGGGUUACAGUAAGUGUUACAGAUUUUAGAGUUUUGAUAGUGUUAAAAGCUGUCUCAGCACGCCAUCAUCUUUAACUGAAAUAAAUAACUCAUAAAGCCUCCAAGACAGAAGUUCAUGUUUCUCGGGAUUGAAAAAUGGUGUGAAUUUCUUCUGUGGAGAUAUUUUUUGAAACACACACACACACACACACACACACACACACACACACACACCACACACACACACACACAAAACACAACACUGUAUGUAUGACAGUCUGAAGUGGUUUCUUUUAAGAAAUAGUUUCAGUCACCACAGAGGAAGCGUUUUCGACAUCAAACACUUUGGGUGUUGAAGAAUUCUGCAGUGUUUCUCCCUUGAAGUGAAGCUGAGGAACCCAGUGAGGGGGAGCAGGGAAAGAUCCGUUCUCCACACUGGAAGAACAACGGUUAUUCGUGGUCGGAGGUUUACCCAUGCAUCUAGCAUUUUUGAAAGAAGGAAUUAUCCCAGCUGUCAUCACAGACGCCACUGUAGAGCUGGUCUACGUUGUUUGCUCUCUGUUUCCUAUCACUUUGAGGUGAUGUCACUACCUAGCUGUUUCCACUUUAGCUGUGUCUGCACUUGUAAAAACACAACCCUUUUAUUGCUAUUUAUCAAUGUGCAAGGCAAAACUACUGGCCCAGUGGGAGACUUUUAAUGAGUACUUGCUAGCUUUGGAGGCUCGCUAUCACUCAGCAGAAUUUUUCUGAGCAGGAAAUUUCAAUGCAAGGAUAGGAAAAAAUGACUUUGCACCACUGCAUAUAAUGGGAUAUAGCUUGAACGAUUCCCUGCUUGACAUUCUUCCUCACUCCAGAUGUUCUAAGGAUUUCCAGAUUAAUUAUGCCUAGCUAAGUUUACUAUCUGUUCCGCAAAACUAUCCUAAAUGGAUCCUUGCCUCAGGACGACCCUGGUGAAUGCAUGUUCAGUUUUAACUAGAGGGAGCUGUGUCAUCGACAAAAUUCUUGUUUCUUCCUAACUGAGAGGCUGGUUUCUGAUCUCUGUGUUGGAGAACACAUACCCUGUUUCCCUGAAAAUAAGACCUAACCUGAAAAUAAGCCCUAGUAUGAUUUUUCAGGAUGCUCGUAAUAUAAGCCCUACCCCAAAAAUAAGCCCUAGUUAAGUGAAAGCCCACCCUCCACCAUUGUGCAGCAUUGUGCAGCAACCAGAAGAUGACAUGACUGUAUUUGAAUAAACGUAGAUUGUUGUACA